AGUAAAAUAGUACGUGAAAUUGUUGAAAGGGAAACGAUUGAAGUCAGUCGUACCGACGAGAAAUCAGCUCUUCGAGUGCGAAGUUGUGGGCGUGUGAGAGUCUUUAACCGGGCCUCGCUGUUUGCAAUUUUGUGCUUUUUGGGUGUACUUUUUCGUAUGGUAGGCCAACGUCAGUUUUGAUUACCGUAAAAUGAUCGGAGGAAUGUAGCUUCGAUCUCGUAUUGAAGUGUUAUAGCCUCUGGUAGAUGCGGUGACCGAAACUGAGGAUUGCAACGAAUACCCUUUUGGGCUAUCCGUCUGGCCUCUGAAAGUUGCUUAGGUGUCGAAAGCGUGCUUACGGCUAUUUAAGUUGACGGUCAACAGGUUAGAACGUGAUUACAUUCGUUAAGGACGUUGGCGUAAUGGCUUUAAA
rnacentral:misc_RNA from 1 species